rnacentral:rRNA from 1 species
GGGUUGUGAGGUUAAGCGACUAAGCGUACACGGUGGAUGCCCUGGCAGUCAGAGGCGAUGAAGGGCGUGCUAAUCUGCGAUAAGCGCCGGUAAGGUGAUAUGAACCGUUAUAACCGGCGAUACCCGAAUGGGGAAACCCAGUGUGACUCGUCACACUAUCAUUAACUGAAUCCAUAGGUUAAUGAGGCGAACCGGGGGAACUGAAACAUCUAAGUACCCCGAGGAAAAGAAAUCAACCGAGAUUCCCCCAGUAGCGGCGAGCGAACGGGGAGGAGCCCAGAGCCUGAAUCAGCAUGUGUGUUAGUGGAAGCGUCUGGAAAGGCGCGCGAUACAGGGUGACAGCCCCGUACACAAAAGCGCAUGUGCUGUGAGCUCGAUGAGUAGGGCGGGACACGUGGUAUCCUGUCUGAAUAUGGGGGGACCAUCCUCCAAGGCUAAAUACUCCUGACUGACCGAUAGUGAACCAGUACCGUGAGGGAAAGGCGAAAAGAACCCCGGCGAGGGGAGUGAAAAAGAACCUGAAACCGUGUACGUACAAGCAGUGGGAGCCCCACCACUAAGCCAGUGGUGAACUCCACAUACGCAUCCUUUGCUGAGGAUACGGUUAACGGAGCGCAAGCGACGUUCAACCGCAAAAGAAGCAGAGGGGGCUUAGUGGUGGGGUGACUGCGUACCUUUUGUAUAAUGGGUCAGCGACUUAUAUUCUGUAGCAAGGUUAACCGUAUAGGGGAGCCGGAGGGAAACCGAGUCUUAAUUGGGCGUUAAGUUGCAGGGUAUAGACC